ensembl:lncRNA
AUAAUGUACACAUGAUGUGUUGUUUGAGAUAAAAUCUUCCUAUAUAGGUCUGGCUGUCUGGGAAUUGUCUAUGUACAUCAAUUGGCCAUAAACUCACAGAGAUGCCUCCUGCUUCUAUCUCAAGAGUUCUGGGAUUAAACCAUUUUAAAAGAUUGUUGACAAAAAUUAUAUAUAUUCAUGAUAUUUAAAAUGACACUUUGAAAGUUAUAUAUUGUGAAAUGGUGAAAUCAGGCUAGUUAAGUCAAUAACCUCAUAUAUUUUGUGGUGAAACAUUUAAAAUUUUAGUGAUUUUUUCAAGUAUAUAAUAUUACUAUAGUUACUAUGUCACACAUUGGAUUAUUAUAUAUGAACAGUUGGUUUUCUUUAAAAAGUUAAUUAAUGUUUGGUGCUUAGGAUCGACCAAGGACCUAACUCAUGCUCUGUACCACUGAGCUAUUCCUCCCUCACAAUUGUGAACUUAGAUAAGUAUAAGACAACAGUGGACUAGGAGUGUAUCUCAGUGACUGAACACUUGUACAUUGAGGCCAUGAGUUUUGUUCUCAGAGUUUCAGAGAGUGGGGAUUGUGGGUAGACAAGAGAAAAUAUGGUAGUCAUUUUAUGGGUUGUAGAUUCAAAAGCAGCAUGAUUUCUGUGGUUAUAGUGGCACAGGCAAAGGCCAGCCUCUUUCAGGAUUAGCAUUCUCUCUUUUUAAAAGAAUUAUUUUUUAUUUUUUAAAUGGUUUUUUUCUGGUUUUCUGAGACAGGCUUCUCUGUGUAACAGCCCUAGCUGUCCUGGAAUUCACUUUGUAGAUCAGACAUGUCUCAACCUCACAGAGAUCAUCCUGCCAGUCUCCCCAUUCCUGGGAUAACAGUUGUAUGCUACAAUGUCCGGCUCUAUUUUUUAAUUUUUUUAAUUAGAAAAUUAUUUUACAUGUCAAUCCCAGGUCCCUCUCCCUCCCCUCCUCUCCUGCCCCCCCCAACAAACACCCUACCUAUCCCAUACCCUUUCUGCUCCCCAGGAGGUAAGGCCUUCCAUAGGGGUUCUUAAGUCUGUCAUAUUCUUUGGGAUGAGGCCUAGGCAGCCCCCUUGUGUCUAGGCUCAGGGAGUAUCCCUCCAUGUGGGAUGGGCUCCUAAAGUCCAUUCCUAUGGUAGUCAUAAGUAUUGAUUCCAAGGUCUCCUCACUGACACCCACAUUCAGGGGGUCUGGAUCAGUCCCAUGCUGGUUUCCCAGCUAUCCCUCUGGGAACCAAGAGUUUUCCCUUGUUCAGGUUAGCUGUUUCUGUGGGUUUCACCAGCCUGGUAUAGACCACUUUGCUCAUCAAUCCUCCUUCUCUGAAUCUGGAUUUCAGUUUAGUUCAAGGUUUAGCUGUGGGUGCCUGCUUCUACUCCCACCAGCUGCUGGCUGAAGUCUAUAUGAUGGCACAUGAAUUCGUCAUCAAUCUCAUUAUCAGGAGAGGGCAUUAAAGGUAGCCUCACCUCUGUUGCUUAGAUUGUUAGUUGGUGUCAUCUCUGUAGCUCUCCAGACAGUUCCCUAGUACCUGAUUUCUCUUUGCACUUAUAAUGUCUCACUCUAUUAUAUUAUCUCUUAUCUUGCUCUCUUCUGUUCUUCCCCCAACUCAAACUCCCUGUACCAUAAUGUCUUCCUCACCCCUUUUUUUCUUCCUUUCUCAUUCUCCUAGUUCCCCCUUCCUUCCCUCAUGCUCCCAAUUUGCUCAGCAGAUCUUGUCCCUUUCCAGGGGGCCAUGUAUGUCUCUCUUAGGGUCCUCCUUGUUUACCAGCUUCUCUGGCAGCCUGGGCUACAGGCUGGCAAUCCUUUACUCUAUGUCUAAAAUCCACAUAUGAAUAAGUACAUAUAAUGCCUGUCUUUUUGUGACUGGGUUACCUUGCUCAGAAUGGUUUCUUCUAGUUCCAUCCAUUAGCCUAUGAAUUUAAAGAUUUCAUUGCUAUUUUUCCCCACUGCAUAGUACUCCAUUGUGUAAAUGUUUCACAUUUUCUCUAUCUAUUUUUCAGUUGAGGGGCAUAUAGGUUGUUUCCAGGUUCUGGCUACUACAAAUAAGGCUGCUAUGAACAUAGUUGAAUACAUGUCCUCGUUGUAGAAAUGUGCUUCUUUUGGCUAUAUGCCUAAGAGAGGAAUUGCUGGAUCUUGUGGUAGACUGAUUGCUAUUUUUCCUGAGGAAUCGCCAUACAGAUUUCCAGAGUGGCUGUACGUGUUGGCACUCCCACUAGCAGUGGAGGAGUGUUCCCAUUUCUCCACAAACUCUCCAGCAUAAACUGUCAUUGGUGUUUUGAUUUUAGCCAUUAUGACAGGUGUAAGAUGGUAUCUCAGAGUUGUUUUGAUUUGUAUUUCCCUGAUGGCUAAGGAUUUUGAACACUUUCUUGUGUGUCUUUCAUCCAUUUUAGAUUUCUCUAUUGAGCAUUGUCUUAUUAAGUACUGUACCUCAGUUUUUAAACGUUUUAUUUAUUUAUUGUGUAUACAACAUUCUGCCUCCAAGUGUGCCUGCAGGCCAGAAGAGGGCACCAGAUCUAUUUACAGAUGGUUGUCAGCCAACAUGUGCUUGCUGGGAUUGAACUCAGGACCUCUGGAAGAGCAGGCAGUGCUCUUAACCUCUGAACCAUCUCUCUAGUUCCCCUGUACCCCACUUUUUAAUUGGAUUAUUUGAUGUUUUGGAGAUGAGCUUAAGUUAUUUGUAAAUUUUGGAGAUCAGCCCUAUGUCAGAUGUGCGGUUGGUGAAUAUCUUUUCCCAGUCUGUGGGCUGCCGUUUUGUCUUGUUGACAGUGACUUUUGCCUUAGAGAAGCUUCUCAGUUUCAGGAGGUCCCAUUUAUUAAUUGUGGAUCUCAGUGUCUGUGCUACUGGUAUUAUGUUCAGGAAUCUGUCUCCUGUACCAAUUUGUUCAAGGGUAUUUCCUACUUUUUCUUCUAAUAAGUUCAGUGUAGCUGUGGUCAUGUUGAGGACUUUGAGCCAUUUGGACUUAAGUUUUGUACAUGGAGAUAGACAAGGAUCAGUCUGCAGUCUUUUACAUGCCAGCAUCCAGUUAUGCCAGCACCAUUUAUUAAAGAUGCUUUCUUUAUUCCAUCGAAUAAAUUUAGCUUCUUUUAAAAAAUCUAUUGUUUGUAGGUGUGUGGGUUAAUAUUGGGCUUUUCAACUAUAUUCCAUUGGUCUACCUGUCUAUUAUUGUGCCAAUAACAAGCUGUUUUCAGGACUAUAGCUCUGUAAUAGAGGUUGAAGUCAGGGAUGGUGAUGCCUCUGGAAGUUCCUUUAUUGUACAGGGUUGUUUUGGCUAUCCUGGGUCUUUUGUUUAUCCAUAUGAAGUUAAGAAUUGCUCUUUCAAGUUCUGUGAAGGAUUGUGUUGGGAUUUUGAUGGGGAUUGUGUUGAAUCUCUAGAUUGCUUUUGGCAAGAUUCCCAUUUUUAGUGUGUUGAUCCUACCUAUCCAAGAACAUGGGAGAACUUUCCAUUUUUUGGUUUCUUCUUUAAUUUCUUUGUUUAGAGACAAAAAUUUCUUACAGUACAGAUCUUUCACUUUUUUGGUUAGCAUUACCUCAAGGAAUUUUAUAUUGUUUGUGGCAAUUGUAACUAUUUCUUCAUGAAUGGAUCCUCUGUAUACAGUAGUGCUACAGGUUUUUUUUGAGUUAAUCUUGUAUCCUGCCACGUUGCUGAAGGUGUUUAUCAGCUGUAGGAGUUCCCAGGUAGAGUUUUUCAGUUCACUUAUGUAGACUAUCAUAACAUCUGGAAACAGUGAAAGCUUGACUUCUUCCUUUCCAAUUUGUAUCUCCUUGAUCUUCUUUUGUUGUCUGAUUGCUCUAGCUAGAACUUCAAGGACAAUAUUGAAGAGAUAUGGAGAGAGUGGGCAGCUUUGUCUUGUUCCUGAUUUUGGAGGAAUAGCUUUGAGUUUCUCUCCAUUUAGUUUGAUGUUGGCUGUUGGCUUACUGUAUAUUGUUUUUAUUAUGUUCAGGUAUGUUCUUGUUAUUCCUGAUCUCUCCAGGUCAUAUAUCAUGAACAGACGUUGGUUUUGUCAAAGGCUUUUUUCAGAAUCUAGUGUGAUGAUCAUGUGGUAUUUCAUCUUCAGUUGCUUUAUAUGGUGGAUUACAUUGAUAGAUUUUUGAAUGUUGUACUAACCCUGCAUCCCAGGGAUGAAGCUUCCGUGAUCAUGGUGGAUGAUUUUUUUAAAUAUACUUGGAUUCGGUUUGCUAGUAUUUUAUUCAGUAUUUUUGCAUCUAUGUUCAUGGGGUAUAUUGUUCUGUAGUUCACUUUCUUAGUUGUGUCUUUGUGUGGCUUGGGUAACCAAGGUAAUUGUAGCCUUGUAAAAAGAGUUUGGCAAUGAACAUUCUGCUUCUAUUGUGUGAAACAAUUCAAAAAGUAUUGGUAUUAGCUCUUAUUUGAAUUUCUGGUGGAAUUCUACACUGAAGCCAUCUGUCCCUGGCCUUUUAUUGGUUGGGAGACAUUUGAUGACUUCUUCUGUUUAUUUAAAGGUUAUGGGCCUGUUUAAGUUGGCUAUCUCUUUUGAUUCAAUUUUGGGUAAGUGAUAUCUGUCCAAAAAAUUGUACAUUUCUUUUAAAUUUUUGAAUUUUGUGGAGUACAGGUUUUCAAACUAUGACCUCAAGAUUCUCUGGAUUUGCUUUAAAUUUUUGAAUUUUGUGGAGUACAGGUUUUCAAACUAUGACCUCAAGAUUCUCUGGAUUUGCUUUAAAUUUUUGAAUUUUGUGGAGUACAGGUUUUCAAGUAUGACCUCAAGAUUCUCUGGAUUUCCUAAGUGCCCUCCUUUUCAUAUCUGAUUUUGUUAAUUAGCAUGCUCUCUCUGUCUCUCUGACUUUUGGUUAGUUUGGAUAAAGUUUUGUCCAUCUUGCUGAUUUUUCUUGAAGAACCAACUCUUUGUUACAUUGAUUCUUUCAAUUUUUUUCGUUCUUUCAACUUUAUUGAUUUCUGCCCUCAAUUUGAUUAUUUCCUGUUGUCUACUCCUCCAGGGUGAAUUUGCUUCUAUUUGUUCCAUCUGUGAUGUCAUAUCUCUGGUGUGACUAUUCUCUAGUUUCUUCAUGUGAGCUCUUAGAAUUAUGGACUUUCCUCUUAGUACUGCUUUCAAAGUGUCCCAGAAGUUUGGGAAUGUUGUGUCUUCUUUUUCGUUGAAUUCAAGAAAGUCUUUAAUUUCUUUCUUUAUUUCUUCCUUGACUCAGGAAUGGUGCAAUUGCAUGUUGUUCAAUUUCCAUGAGUUUGUAGGUUUUCUGCAAUUUGUGUUGUUUUUGAUUUCUAACUUUAAGGCAUGGUGGUCUAAUAAGACACAGGCCAUUUUCCCAACUUUUUUGUACCUGUUGAGCUUUGCUAUGUUGCUGAGUAUGUGAUGCUGAAAAGAAGAAAUAUUCUUUUGUGUUUGGAUGGAAAGUUCUAUAGAUGUCUGUUAAUCCCAAUUGGGUCAUAGCUUCUGUUAGUUCCUUUGUCUCUUUGUUAAGUUUCUGUCUGGUAGUCCUGUCCAGUGGUGUGAGUGGGGUGUUGAAGUCUCCCAGUAUAACUGUGUGAGGUCCUGUUUGUGAUUUGAGUUUUAAUAAUGUUUCUUUUAUGAAUGUUGAUGCCUUUGUAUUUGGGGCAUAGAUGUUUAGAAUUGAGACUUCUUCCUGAUGGAAUUUUCCUGUGAUGAAUAUGAAAUGCCCUUCUUCAUCUCUUUUGAUUGAUUUUAGUUUGAAGUCUAACUUGCUAGAUAAUAGGGUAGCUAGCCAAGCUCAUUUCUUGGGUCCAUUUGAUUGGAAUAUCUUAUCCCAACACUUUCCUCUGAGGUAAUGUCUGUUUUGAAGUUGAUGUGUGUUUCUUGUAUGCAGCAGAAGGAAGGAUUCUGUCUCUGUAUCCACUCUGUAAGACUGUGUCUUUUGAUAGGCGAGUUAAGACCAUUAAUAUUGAGGAAAAUUAAGGACCAUUGAGUGCUUAUUCUUGUUUGUUUUUUAUUUGGUGUUGGUAGUGGUAUUGUAGGUGGAUUUACCCUGCUUUUUUGGGGGGGUUGAUAAAGUGGGAUUAUCUAUUGCCUAUGUUUUUUGUGUGUAGUAAAUUUCCUUAGGUUGUAGUUUUCCUUCCAAUACUUUCUGUAGGGCUGGAUUAGUGGUUAUACAUUGUUUAAAUAUGGUUUUGCCAUUGAAUGUCUUAUUUUCUCCAUUUAUAGUGACUGAAAUCUUUGCUGGGUAUAGUUUUCUGGGCUGGCAUCUGUAUUCUCUUAGAGUUGGUAGAAUAUCUAUCCAGGUCCUUCUGGCUUUCUGAGUUUCCAUUCAGAAGUCCCGUCUACUUUAUAUGUUACUUGGCCUUUUUCCUUUGCUGCUAUUAAUGUUCAUUGUUUAUUCUGUAUGUUUUGUGUUUUAUUAUGUGAUGAUGGGACUUUCUUUUGUGGGGCAAAUCUGGCUCUAUUAUUUUAGUGUUAUAAGUGCAUGUAAGUAUGAGCACUGUAUGUGUGGCUGGUUCCUGAUGAAGCCAGAAGAGGGCGCCAGAUUAUUUGGAACUGGACUUGCACAGAUGGUUGUAAGCCUUAUGUGUUCAAGGUGUGUUGAACCCUUUUCCUCAAGAAGAAUAGCAGGUGCUCUUAGCUGCUGAGUCAGGUCUCUAGCCCAGUAAUUGGGAAUCUCUUAAUGAACCCUUUUUCAAAUAACUAGUAUACCUUUGCUUUUCUGUCAGUGUAUCCUGUCAUUCUCAGAUUACAGUAGGGUGGUGAGUUUCCCAGAGAGACAGUGCUUACUAAAAUAUUUGCCCUGUAGGAAAGAGGAGCCCGCAUUUUAUCAUCUUCAGAAAACAGGUGAGAGACACCUAUUAGAAUUUUUGUGAUUAUUAUUUAUUAUAGCAAAGUACUCCGUGAAAUAUUUGAUAUGGAUGGAGUGAGCAAAUGAUUUGCUGAUUUACUUAGUAAAUUAAAUUUAUCACAUGGGUGUUAGAGUGCAUACCUAUAAUCCCAGAACUCAGAUAGCUGGGCCAGAAAGAUAAAGAGUUUGAGGCUCUCUUAGCAUACACAUUAAGAUCCUGUCUAUAAAAGUAAAUUAAAGGUUUCAAAAUUUCUGAUUCCUAGGCAUCUCUUAGGAAAAUUACCUCACAGAUGAGUACCCAGAAUCUAUGUUUUUAGAAAAAGAUUUUUAAAAGUGUGUGUGGAGGGGGGGGAGGUGUUGCCUUAGAGGCCAGAACAGCAUUCCAUUAGAUCCUGAGUUACAUGUAGUUUGGAGCCACUCAAUGUGGGUGCUGGCGGCUUUGGAAAACCAGGAAGUGCUCUUAACCAUUGAACCAUCCCCCCAGCCUUGAGAAACUGUAUGGUUAAAGAAUGUUUUCAGGUGAGGUAUUCUUAUAUAAUAGAUAUAGUAGUGUCCAAUGACAGGUUUGAUAGUCACAAUGUUUAGGGUAGUUAUCAAAAAAUGUUAAAUAACACCAAAUAUACACAGAAAAGAAUCAACAAAUAUAUUGAAAGAUUUUAUAAAUGUAUCAGGAUAUAUUUUACUUACUUAAAAAUCCUUUUUAUGAAACUGACACCUUAAUUUUUUCCUCCUCAUAACAAUGAACAGUAAACUUUGCCUCAUGGAUCCCCAUGUAUAUUUCCAAGCAGGAAUCUGUGAAAAAUCUGUGAAAAUUUGAGGUACAGUGACAUAGUACUGACUCCAUCCACCUCCAGAAACUUACUUGAAGUAGGAAUAUCUUACGUGAUGCUGUUACUUCCCAAGGUGGCACUGUGAAAAAGAAUUUCUCUGUUAUGCAACUAGCUAUAGUGUACUGUAGGGAAUGCUGCAUGUUUGGUUGUGAUAAAUGGAGGACUUGUUGUUCUUGGGUUUUCUUUUGUGCCCUCAUAGUCAUCCAGAGGCUUUCAUCUCAUCCAAGCUGUUAUUCUCUAUUCCAGGCUUGCAGCUAGAAUCAAGGCUGGGAAUUCUGAAGGACUGGGGAUGGUGUGAGUUCAUGAUCUCUGCCCAUAGACAGGUGUUGUCCUCAUCUGGGCAUCCUGGGUGCAGGAUUUGUAGAGUACUUCCCUGCAGCACAAGGAUUAUCUGGCCAGAAGUGUCCAUCCAUUUUCAGCACUGAAAAAGAUUGGCAGAAGAAGGCAGGGUCUGGAUCUGGCACUGGAUUCUGGCCUGAGGAACUCCAUGAAGCAGAUCAGAGGCUUUCUGGUCUUUCUUAUUUUCCUCUUUGAAUGUGAAGAUGCUUCUGCUGGAGCUUUCCUGGGCCUGAUCACUCCUGAAGACUCUAAAGUCUGUGAAUUGUGUUGCCGUGAGAUCUUCCAAUUGGAUUAAGUCAGUGAUGGAGUUUAAGAGUUGGGGAAGGCUUGGAGCAGGAGGCAAUGUCAUGAAUUGUGAAGCACUUUAGAUGGGAGCAGUCAAUGAUCUGUCCCCAAAGACAGGUGGUGUCUUCACCUACACAUCCUGUGUGCAGGCAUUGCAGAGCUCUGGACUCUGCAGCUGACAGAUUGUCUGGCCUGGAGGUGUCAAUCCCAGGGAUGUCUCCAUUUCCACUACUUAAAAAGAGUGAAGGAAGAAGACAGUGUCUGGUGAGUGAGAUGCUCCUCUCCUUUGAGUGCCCCUACAGCAUUGGGGCAGGGUUUCCUAUAGCUCUGCUUGAGUAGCAAGUGCAUCACCUUUGUUUGGAGACUCAUAGUACUCUUCAGUGUUUUGUGGUGACCAUGUAAUGUUGUGUCCUCUCAGAUGUUUGUGUGUUCCUUUGUGUUUGUGUGGUGUGUGCAUGCAUAGUGAUCACUGGUAGGUUACAGAAUUCCCUUGGCCUGUGGUCUUCCCUCACCCUCCCCUUUGUCUUUGAAAUAGUGCCUCUCCUUUCUUUGGAAGUUUGCUCUUAGGCAGGUCAUCGUGUCUAAAGGUUCCAAAACUUACAUGUGUCUUUAUCUUGUUUCAGUCUCUGUCAUUACUACUAUGUCCCCAGAAAGCUUGGUUUUUAUAGGUGGUUAGGUUACUGCACCCAAUUCCCCACUCCUGACAGCCCACCAGUUGUAGAACCCUGACUUUUAUCCAGCCCCACUUUUCAGAGACUUCUAUAAGUGGCAUGACAAUUAGUUUAAGGAGGUGAAAUCUUUGGGCUGGAGGGUUACUUUCUCCCAUCAUUGAGACAGAAUGAUUGGGAUGGGGAGCCAGAGGCAAAGCUAUCCUCUUGGGACUCCCAUUCUUCCUCUGUGUGGGUAUUAAGAUCUAAAAUAUUAUCCCACAUGGCUAUCAUGGACCUGGAGGAGAGGGUGGCAUUCUGGUCCAUGACAGUUACAGUGAAGUCUUUCCUGUCAGUGCUUUCUGUGAGAUCCCAUGGGAGAGCACUUGGAUAAGAGAGUGCUAAGGUAGAGAUCUGGUUCUGGCCAGUCAGUGCACUCAGCUUGUUCAUGCCAGCUCAUUGAUAAAGGUAGGCACUGUCCAUGAGCUGCUGGUCACAAGUGCUGGGAUCUGAUGGCAGGAGCCAUGCAGAACUCACAGCUGGUGUGGAGACCCUGGAGAAGUUGCACACACUUCCUGCUGAAGGUGUGGAAUUCCUCAGCACAGGCACAGAAGGCCUCAGAGCACAUUCUGUCCCAAAGAAUGGUGUGCUUUGGAAAUUUGGAAAUUAACUGUAGAAAGCAAGAGAACACUGAGAAAAUUGUGAGAUGGAAAUUUUGUAGCUUCCUGUGAAGAUCUGUGUUAUGGCCAGGUUGUCCUGUCUGGGUUUGUCUGUAACCCAUGUUCC